rnacentral:rRNA from 1 species
UACGGAGGGUGCAAGCGUUGUUCGGAAUCACUGGGCGUAAAGGGCGUGUAGGCGGCCUGUUAAGUCUGAUGUGAAAUCCCCUCGCUCAACGAGGGAACUGCGUCGGAAACUGGCAGGCUCGAGUACCGGAGAGGAAGGUGGAAUUCCCGGUGUAGCGGUGAAAUGCGUAGAUAUCGAGAGGAACACCUGCGGCGAAGGCGGGUAGCUGGGCCGACACUGACGCUGAGGCGCGAAAGCCAGGGGAGCGAACGGG